AGCAUCAAACGGAGACAGCAUAUGCCUUAUCCCAUACAACACUGGGGUAAUCUCAAACAACAAGGUUGUGUUGAAUGUGGAUAUUGUGUCAUGCGGUACAUGAAGGAGAUUGUUGAAUGUGAGGAUCUACAGUUGGAGAGGAAGUUUGCAGGUUGUGUGAAGAACCAGUACUAUACGCAGACACAAU